rnacentral:rRNA from 1 species
CAGUUCAGAUUGCAGGCUGCAACCCGCCUGCAUGAAGUCGGAAUUGCUAGUAAUCGCGGAUCAGCAUGCCGCGGUGAAUACGUUCCCGGGCCUUGUACACACCGCCUGUCACACCAUGGGAGCCGGUAAUACCCGAAGUCAGUAGUCCAACCUCGUGAGGACGCUGCCGAAGGUAGGAUUGGCGACUGGGGUGAAGUCGUAACAAGGUAUC